GGAGAGAUGGCCGAGUUGGUCUAAGGCGUCAGGUUAAGGCCCUGAUCUCUUCGGAGGCGUGGGUUCGAAUCCCACUCUCUUCA
rfam:Lichtheimia corymbifera JMRC:FST:9682, FST 9682, WGS project CBTN01000000 data, contig: SCAF00002